UAGAAGGUGACGUUCUCGCGACCUUUCGCAACGUUCCCUAAAAGUUCUCUAAAGAGGAUGAAAAGACCUGAACCUUUAGAGAACAUUAGGUACAUUCCUAAAACGUCCUUUGUUGGUUAUAAAAGUCUUGCAGUUCAAGGUUCCUCAUGUGACUUUAGGGGGACGCCCGAGACAUUUACAGAACAUUCCCACAUGGUACUAUUUUGGUCAUAUCAUAACGUUCCUGAUAUGACUGUAUGAUGAUGUUCCAUAUUGGUUAUCCUGUGGUCACAUAAGAACGUUACAGAAAGGACAUAUGGAACAUUAACAGAACAUUCCCACAUGGUACUAUUUUGGUUAUAUCAUAACGUUCCUGAUAUGACUGUAGGAUGACGUUCCAUAUUGGUUAUCCUGUGGUCACAUAAGAACGUUACAGAAAGGACUUUUGGAACAUUUACAGAACCAUCCUACAUGGUCCUCUGUUGGUCAUAUAAUAUUGUUCCUGAUAUGACUUUAGGGGGACGUCCCAUAUUGGUUAUCCUGUGGUCACAUGGCAACGUUACAAAGAGGACAUUUGGAACAUUAAUAGAAUGUUCUCACAUGGUCCUCUGUUGGUCAUUUAAUAAUGUUCCUGAUAUCAGGAGGACAAAAUAUGAAAUUACAGUUAGAGCAUUUUAUUUUUAUAGGCAGUUAAUAAAAAGGAUGUGUCAAUGUGCAGUGGACCAUACAAACAAAGUAAUAAAUAAAUGAUUUCAGAAUGAAGAAAAAUAAAUGAGUGAUUCAGUCUGCACUAUCGUACAUCAGACAAAGACAAAUAAUAAUUAAAUAAGACUUUACAUUACAUUGUGUUAACAAGCACAAAAAAUACUAGUAAAUAAUACUAUACUAAUAUGUAUUAUGUUGUACUCUCUGAAUAUAAUGAUGUAGAUUGCAAUGUAUCUUGGAAACAGUAGUCAGUUAACAGCAAAGCGUUCAAUCCGCUUUAUGAAAAGAACUACCUUUCCCAUAAUGCAACAGCUUACAAGAGGACCCGGAAGUCACAUGAAAUUCAAACUGCCACACUUGACGACGCGUGAUCUUUGUUUUGUCUUUAUAUAAUACUGUAAGAAGUCAUGUACCACACAUUGUCAAACCUGAAGAAGUGUAUCUUCCUGCAAUCUAAAGAAGGCUCCAGACCUGGAGAUUGAAGUUCCUAAAGGUUGAUGUUUAUCAAGCUUGUGACCUUAUCACAUGGUGUUAUUUUUUUACAUUUAUAUAUCUAAUACACAUUUGCACAUCUGUAAACAUAAAUUUAAUAUUUUGUGGGCUAUUUUUUAUUUUAUUUAACCAGUUGUUGUAUAUUGAAAUAUGUUACAUUUUAUGCACUCCAAAUGUAAAUGUUUUGUUAUAUUGCAUCUUUAUUGUUUAAAACCAUUUAAUUAAUGUGGGUUUUUGUUAGCUUUUAUGUUAUUCUUGUAUUUUUUGGCUAUUUAUUUGUUUUUGUUUUUUGUUAUCCUUCUGUUAAUUUGCCAGAUUUUGACCUUCUAUU